AGAGCGAACGCUGGCGGCAGGCCUAAUACAUGCAAGUCGAACGGACCCUUCGGGGUUAGUGGCGGACGGGUGAGUAACACGUGGGAACGUGCCCUUUGGUUCGGAACAACUCAGGGAAACUUGAGCUAAUACCGAAUGUGCCCCCAUCCUUAAACAAGAUGGGUGGGAAAGAUUUAUCGCCAUUGGAGCGGCCCGCGUCUGAUUAGCUAGUUGGUGAGGUAAAGGCUCACCAGGGCGACGAUCAGUAGCUGGUCUGAGAGGAUGAUCAGCCACACUGGGACUGAGACACGGCCCAGACUCCUACGGGAGGCAGCAGUAGGGAAUCUUGCGCAAUGGGCGAAAGCCUGACGCAGCCAUGCCGCGUGAAUGAUGAAGGUCUUAGGAUUGUAAAAUUCUUUCAGCGGGACAUAAUGACGGUACCGCAGAAGAACGCCCCGGACUAACUUCGUGCCAGCAGCCGC
rnacentral:rRNA from 1 species